AUGAACGCUGGCUACAGGCUUAACACCUGCAAGUCGAGGGGAAACGACGGGGAAGCUUGCUUCCCCGGGCGUCGACCGGCGCACGGGUGAGUAACGCGUAUCCAACCUGCCUCUGACUGAGGGAUAACCCGUCGAAAGUCGGCCUAAUACCUCAUGGUAUCGUCUGCGGGCAUCCAACGACGAUUAAAGAUUUCAUCGGUCAGGGAUGGGGAUGCGUCUGAUUAGCUUGUUGGCGGGGUAACGGCCCACCAAGGCUACGAUCAGUAGGGGUUCUGAGAGGAAGGUCCCCCAAAUUGGAACGGAGACACGGUCCAAACUCCUACGGGAGGCAGCAGUGAGGAAUAUUGGUCAAUGGGCGAGAGCCUGAACCAGCCAAGUAGCGUGCAGGAAGACGGCCCUAUGGGUUGUAAACUGCUUUUAUGCGGGGAUAAAGUGAGGGACGUGUCCCUCAUUGCAGGUACCGCAUGAAUAAGGACCGGCUAAUUCCGUG
rnacentral:rRNA from 1 species